rnacentral:rRNA from 1 species
AUUGCCAGUAACGGCGAGUGAAGCGGCAAAAGCUCAAAUUUGAAAUCCUGCGGGAAUUGUAAUUUGAAGGUUUCGUGGUCUGAGUCGGCCGCGCCCAAGUCCAUUGGAACAUGGCGCCUGGGAGGGUGAGAGCCCCGUAUGGCGCACGCCGACUCUUUGCACCGCGGCUCCGACGAGUCGAGUUGUUUGGGAAUGCAGCUCUAAGUGGGUGGUAAAUUCCAUCUAAAGCUAAAUAUUGGCGAGAGACCGAUAGCGAACAAGUACAGUGAUGGAAAGAUGAAAAGCACUUUGAAAAGAGAGUGAAACAGCACGUGAAAUUGUUGAAAGGGAAGGGCUUGCAAGCAGACACGGUUUUACCGGGCCAGCGUCAAAUAAACGGGGGGGAAAAGGGGGAAAGAAUGUGGCGCGUGCCUUCGGGUUCGCGUGUUAUAGCUUUCUCUAAUACCCCCAUGUUUGUUUGAGGCCUGCGAUUCUAGGACGCUGGCGUAAUGGUUGCAAGCCGCCCGUCUUGAAAAAAC